rnacentral:rRNA from 1 species
CAAGUCGGACGGGAUUUUCUUUGGUAGCAAUACCGAAAAAAAUUCAGUGGCGAACGGGUGCGUAACACGUGGGCAAUCUGUCUUAAAGUGGGGGAUAGCUCGGCGAAAGCCGAAUUAAUACCGCAUGUGAUCAGAGGCGACAUCGCUUCGAAAUCAAAGGUGGCGCAAGCUACCGCUUUUUGAGGAGCCCGCGGCCUAUCAGCUUGUUGGUGAGGUAAUGGCUCACCAAGGCGUUGACGGGUAGCUGGUCUGAGAGGACGACCAGUCACACUGGGACUGAGACACGGCCCAGACACCUACGGGUGGCAGCAGUCGAGAAUUUUUCUCAAUGGGGGAAACCCUGAAGGAGCGACGCCGCGUGGAGGAUGAAGGUCUUCGGGUUGUAAACUCCUGUCAUUUGGGAACAAGUCGUACGUAUUAACUGUACGUGCGUUGAUAGUACCAGAAGAGGAAGAGACGGCUAACUCUGUGCCAGCAGCCGCGGUAAUACAGAGGUCUCAAGCGUUGUUCGGAUUCAUUGGGCGUAAAGGGUGCGUAGGCGGCGCGGUAAGUCGGGUGUGAAAUCUCGGAGCUUAACUCCGAAACUGCAUUCGAUACUGCCGUGCUUGAGGACUGGAGAGGAGACUGGAAUUUACGGUGUAGCGGUGAAAUGCGUAGAUAUCGUAAGGAAGACCAGUGGCGAAGGCGGGUCUCUGGACAGUUCCUGACGCUGAGGCACGAAGGCCAGGGGAGCAAACGGGAUUAGAUACCCCGGUAGUCCUGGCAGUAAACGGUGCACGUUUGGUGUGGGAGGAUUCGACCCCUUCUGCGCCGGAGCUAACGCGUUAAACGUGCCGCCUGGGGAGUACGGUCGCAAGAUUAAAACUCAAAGAAAUUGACGGGGGCCCGCACAAGCGGUG